rnacentral:rRNA from 1 species
AGUGAACGCUGGCGGUAGGCCUAACACAUGCAAGUCGAACGGCAGCACAGUAAGAGCUUGCUCUUACGGGUGGCGAGUGGCGGACGGGUGAGGAAUACAUCGGAAUCUACUUUUUCGUGGGGGAUAACGUAGGGAAACUUACGCUAAUACCGCAUACGACCUACGGGUGAAAGCAGGGGAUCUUCGGACCUUGCGCGAUUGAAUGAGCCGAUGUCGGAUUAGCUAGUUGGCGGGGUAAAGGCCCACCAAGGCGACGAUCCGUAGCUGGUCUGAGAGGAUGAUCAGCCACACUGGAACUGAGACACGGUCCAGACUCCUACGGGAGGCAGCAGUGGGGAAUAUUGGACAAUGGGCGCAAGCCUGAUCCAGCCAUACCGCGUGUGUGAAGAAGGCCUUCGGGUUGUAAAGCCCUUUUGUUGGGAAAGAAAAGCAGCAGGUUAAUACCCCGCUGUUCUGACGGUACCCAAAGUAUAAGCACCGGCUAACUUCGUG